UACGGAGGGUGCAAGCGUUAUCCGGAUUCACUGGGUUUAAAGGGUGCGUAGGCGGGUUGGUAAGUCCGUGGUGAAAUCUCCGAGCUUAACUCGGAAACUGCCGUGGAUACUAUCAAUCUUGAAUAUCGUGGAGGUAAGCGGAAUAUGUCAUGUAGCGGUGAAAUGCUUAGAGAUGACAUAGAACACCCAUUGCGAAGGCAGCUUACUACGCCUAUAUUGACGCUGAGGCACGAAAGCGUGGGGAUCAAACAGG
rnacentral:rRNA from 1 species